rnacentral:rRNA from 1 species
GAUGAACGCUGGCGGCGUGCCUAAUACAUGCAAGUCGAGCGAACAGAUGAGGAGCUUGCUCCUCUGACGUUAGCGGCGGACGGGUGAGUAACACGUGGAUAACCUACCUAUAAGACUGGGAUAACUUCGGGAAACCGGAGCUAAUACCGGAUAAUAUAUUGAACCGCAUGGUUCAAUAGUGAAAGACGGUUUUGCUGUCACUUAUAGAUGGAUCCGCGGCGCAUUAGCUAGUUGGUAAGGUAACGGCUUACCAAGGCAACGAUGCGUAGCCGACCUGAGAGGGUGAUCGGCCACACUGGAACUGAGACACGGUCCAGACUCCUACGGGAGGCAGCAGUAGGGAAUCUUCCGCAAUGGGCGAAAGCCUGACGGAGCAACGCCGCGUGAGUGAUGAAGGUCUUCGGAUCGUAAUACUCUGUUAUUAGGGAAGAACAAAUGUGUAAGUAACUAUGCACGUCUUGACGGUACCUAAUCAGAAAGCCACGGCUAACUACGUG